UUGUCAUGAGAAAAGAGGAGGAAAGCGCCGAGGAGGGAGAAAAGAGGGUGGGGGGCACAGAUCAGUUACCGGCAAUUCAGAAGCGCUCCUACUAGGUUACCGAAAGGGGUUAUGAAAUACACAGUUCUGCUGAGGAAUCAAAAUGGAUAGAUGGGGAGAGAGAGAGACUCGCAGGGCCUUGCUUCGGAUCACGCAUUAUUGGAAGGCGGUCGAGAAGGUCAACACCAGGAAACACUUAGCAGGAAGAAGAAUUUAAUGCUAGGACCUAACCGGCAGGGUCAGCUGCGACUGAAUCGAAUGAAGCCGGACUCAAGAGAGCCACAUGCUCAGAGGAAGGGACCACAACAGGGAAUUCGUGUGUAUGGGCAGCUGCUGCUUCAAAUCCUUCACAGCUGAGCAAAGGCAUCAUGGUGAAAUGCAGGAAGAGAGGCUGCCCUGCAGAUAUUAAAGCGCAACUCCAUGAAGGGCUUUGUGUAAGUGUAACCCCCAUGCUCAGAAUGGGUUGACCCAGAAAGGGGUGGAGCAGGAGGCUGCAGAGCUCAUGUAGUUUGGAGGAGACAAGGCUACCAGACUCGGACCUUGA